GUGGUUUAAUUUGAAGCAACGCGAAGAACCUUACCAGGUCUUGACAUCCAGUGCAAACUUAAGAGAUUAGGUGUUCCCUUCGGGGACGCUGAGACAGGUGGUGCAUGGCUGUCGUCAGCUCGUGUCGUGAGAUGUUGGGUUAAGUCCCGCAACGAGCGCAACCCUUGUCAUUAGUUGCCAUCAUUAAGUUGGGCACUCUAAUGAGACUGCCGGUGACAAACCGGAGGAAGGUGGGGAUGACGUCAAGUCAUCAUGCCCCUUAUGACCUGGGCUACACACGUGCUACAAUGGACGGUACAACGAGAAGCGAACCUGCGAAGGCAAGCGGAUCUCUUAAAGCCGUUCUCAGUUCGGACUGUAGGCUGCAACUCGCCUACACGAAGCUGGAAUCGCUAGUAAUCGCGGAUCAGCACGCCGCGGUGAAUACGUUCCCGGGCCUUGUACACACCGCCCGUCACACCAUGAGAGUCUGUAACACCCAAAGCCGGUGGGAUAACCUUUAUAGGAGUCAGCCGUCUAAGGUAGGACAGAUGAUUAGGGUGAAGUCGUAACAAGGUAGCCGU
rnacentral:rRNA from 1 species